GGGCCCCGCACAAGCAGCGGAGCGUUGUGGUUUAAUUCGAUGUUACACGAAGAACCUUACCAGGGUUUGACAUGCAAGUGGUAGGAAGCCGAAAGGUGACCGGACCCUUCGGGGAGCUUGCACAGGUGCUGCAUGGCUGUCGUCAGCUCGUGUCGUGAGAUGUUCGGUUAAGUCCGCUAACGAGCGCAACCCUCGCUGUGUGUUAUAUGUGUCACACGGGACUGCCGGUCUUAAGCCGGAGGAAGGUGGGGAUGAUGUCAAGUCAGCAUGGCCUUUAUAUCCUGGGCUACACACACGCUACAAUGGCCAACACAAUAGGUUGCUAAGCCGCGAGGUGGCGCCAAUCCAUAAAGUUGGUCUCAGUUCAGAUUGUAGGCUGCAACCCGCCUGCAUGAAGAUGGAGUUGCUAGUAACCGCAGGUCAGCUAUACUGCGGUGAAUACGUUCCCGGGGCUU
rnacentral:rRNA from 1 species